rnacentral:rRNA from 1 species
GAUGAACGCUGGCGGCGUGCCUAAUACAUGCAAGUCGAGCGAACAGACGAGGAGCUUGCUCCUCUGACGUUAGCGGCGGACGGGUGAGUAACACGUGGAUAACCUACCUAUAAGACUGGGAUAACUUCGGGAAACCGGAGCUAAUACCGGAUAAUAUAUUGAACCGCAUGGUUCAAUAGUGAAAGACGGUUUUGCUGUCACUUAUAGAUGGAUCCGCGCCGCAUUAGCUAGUUGGUAAGGUAACGGCUUACCAAGGCAACGAUGCGUAGCCGACCUGAGAGGGUGAUAGGCCACACUGGAACUGAGACACGGUCCAGACUCCUACGGGAGGCAGCAGUAGGGAAUCUUCCGCAAUGGGCGAAAGCCUGACGGAGCAACGCCGAGUGAGUGAUGAAGGUCUUCGGAUAGUAAAACUCUGUUAUUAGGGAAGAACAAAUGUGUAAGUAACUAUGCACGUCUUGACGGUACCUAAUCAGAAAGCCACGGCUAACUACGUG